UUGCUUCACAUAAGCGAAGUAGCGAAGUAGCGAAGUAGCGAACUAGCGUUGUUCAAGUAAGAAGAGUGAGGGAGAACAAUUGAAGCUUCACUCAUUUUCGAGAUAAGUUAACCCUUUUCAAUUUAUACCCUUUUUCUGCUGUUAAUCUUCUUAUUAAUCGUUACAAUUAGUGUUAAAUUUGCAACAAUGUGGGAAAAUUUGCCAAAGGAUGUAUUGUCAGACAUCUGCUUGAGACUUCCCAUGAAAACUCUUGUUAUAUGUGCUUGCACUAGCAAAACUCUGUUGAAUUUCAUCACUAGCCCUGAAUUUAUGGCUUCUCACAACAAAAAAUCCAAAGAUAAACCCUUUACAUUACUUAGGUACUAUAUAGAAGGAGAAAGAAGUUCCAAGGAGUAUUUUGCUUUACACCCAGAUAAUGGAUUUUCUGAAUCUAAUCUAAUGUUUCGAGAAUUGCCCGUCAAAUUUCUUCGUUGUAAUAGUUGCUUCAACUUUGUGGGUUCUUGUAAUGGGGUUAUUUGUUUGUCUGAUGACAUUUUUACAUACGCUGAUGUCAUAUAUCUGUGGAACCCUAGUAUAAGGAAAGCAGUAGAAGUCCCUUAUCCUAAUUUCACAUUUGGUCCAUGUGGUCCAUACGACAUGUGUGUUGGGUUUGGGUUCGAUAAGCUGACUAAUGAUUACAAGGUGGUUCGUCUUGUUUACCUUGUGCCAAAACAGCUUCCCCCACUUGUUGAGGUUUACUCAGUUAAUUCUGGAUCAUGGAGAACCAUCACUGCUUCUCGUCCUAUGUACUAUGUUCGCCAUAUGCUCGUGUUUUCUCUUGAUCAAGAAAGUUAUUCACAAUGUUAUUUGAAUGGGUAUUUGCAUUGGCCUGGAUUCAUUAUCCAACCCACCAAAGGUCAGAGUUAUCGGGAGGAAGCUUGGAGGGUUAUUGUGACUUUCAAUGUGCGAGAUGAAUUCUUUGGUGAAAUGAAAUUGCCUGCUUGUCUUGAGGGCUCUAAUACUAAGUCAAUUAAAGUGAAGAUCACAGUUUGCUACGAUAUGCUUUCGCUAAUUCUAUCUUCAAAUCAGAAAUGUGACUCCUCCAUAUGGGUGAUGAAAGAGUAUGGCAACAACGAUUCUUGGACUGAGUCUUUUAGGUUUAACAACCCAGCUGGAUACCCAGUGCCUAGGGCGUUGUACUUUCGGAAGAAUGAGAAUCUUUUAAUGUUAGCAAGUGGUUGUUGCUCUAACUGGAGAAGUAAGAGUAGUGCUCUCCGAGUGCUUUCUGUUGACUGCGAUAGAGAUCAAAAGGAGGUACUAGAGAACCUUGAGGGGGGACUGAAAGGAUUAUAUUUGGGAUCAUACAAAGAAGGUAUGGCGCUGUUCAAUGAGGGGAAAACUAUUCAGGAUGACGAGGUCAAAGAUGAAGUUCGGGUUGAUGAAUUGAAUGCGGGUAGAAUUCUUUCAAAGAACUUACCAUGUGGAUGUGACAUUGCUAAAGUUUGCUAGCGGACAUUGCAUAUUGGCCGGGAGCAAACCAAGGUGACGUGAGCUCACAAAAGGGGGACCACUCCAAAUUCAUCAUCUUUUGUCUUCAUGCUGAGACGGCCGUCACGGCAAUAGAAAACGACAAAUUAAAGGGAAUCUUCCCUCUGACAAGAACAAUCACAACAGUACAAGUGUCACAAGAUUUGAUAUCCUGUCAGGUGAAUAGUACGCCUAUAAAUAGCCAUCCAGUACUAUUCCUGCAGUUCUCUCGAACUUAAAGAUUGAGCAUCUCCAGUGAAGGUUUCAACAUUGCGAUUAAGAUGUAUGAGGAAAGGAUUUUGUGCCUGCUUGCUAUCAUUGAGAUUGUUGUGAUCUGUCUCUGAACAGCCAGCCAAGAUACCUAAUAUACUGCACUAACAACUUCUAGUCCCAUAUGAAAUUAUGACACCAGAUAUUAUCGAACGCAGUUAGAUCCUAUCAAACACAGUUAUUUAUUUUGUCGAAUUUUGAUCCUUUCUAACUGUGAUUUUUUCUCUUUGCUAUCGACAAAUUAUGUUCUAAUUAGGAACAUUGCUGCUUGAA